rnacentral:tRNA from 1 species
AAUUUGAAAAAGUCCUAUUUGGUUCCANGGCUU